GACGAACGCUGGCGGCGUGCUUAACACAUGCAAGUCGAGCGGAAAGGCCUGCUUUCCCUUGUGGAUUGCGGGUACUCGAGUGGCGAACGGGUGAGUAACACGUGAGUGAUCUGCCCCCAACUUGGGUAUAAGCCUGGGAAACUGGGUCUAAUUCCCGAUAGGACUGCAGGGUGGUGCCUGUGGUGGAAAACGAUUUUCUAGUGGUUGGGGAUGAGCUCGCGGCCUAUCAGCUUGUUGGUGGGGUAAUGGCCUACCAAGGCGGCGACGGGUAGCCGGCCUGAGAGGGUGGACGGCCACAUUGGGACUGAGAUACGGCCCAGACUCCUACGGGAGGCAGCAGUGGGGAAUAUUGCACAAUGGGCGGAAGCCUGAUGCAGCGACGCCGCGUGGGGGAUGACGGCCUUCGGGUUGUAAACUCCUUUCGACCGCGAGGGAGCCACCUGGUUGGAAGGGUGGUGACGGUAGUGGUAGAAGAAGCACCGGCUAACUACGUG
rnacentral:rRNA from 1 species